rnacentral:rRNA from 1 species
AUUGAACGCUGGCGGCAGGCUUAACACAUGCAAGUCGAGCGGGGUGAUGGUGCUUGCACUAUCACUUAGCGGCGGACGGGUGAGUAAUGCUUAGGAAUCUGCCUAUUAGUGGGGGACAACAUCUCGAAAGGGAUGCUAAUACCGCAUACGUCCUACGGGAGAAAGCAGGGGAUCACUUGUGACCUUGCGCUAAUAGAUGAGCCUAAGUCGGAUUAGCUAGUUGGUGGGGUAAAGGCCUACCAAGGCGACGAUCUGUAGCGGGUCUGAGAGGAUGAUCCGCCACACUGGGACUGAGACACGGCCCAGACUCCUACGGGAGGCAGCAGUGGGGAAUAUUGGACAAUGGGGGAAACCCUGAUCCAGCCAUGCCGCGUGUGUGAAGAAGGCCUUAUGGUUGUAAAGCACUUUAAGCGAGGAGGAGGCUCUUUUGGUUAAUACCCAGAAUGAGUGGACGUUACUCGCAGAAUAAGCACCGGCUAACUCUGUGCCAGCAGCCGCCGCGG